UGUAAGAGGAAUGUAGACCAAGAAACUCAGAAGACCCAGAGGCAAAGGGCAAAUAAAGAAGUUCAGGAGGAUACACACCCCAGGAUAGAGGAUCCAAGCCCAAGGCAUAGCUGUAGGUUAUUGAUGCCUCCUGUGUGAGCACUGACCACUCUGUUACCAACAUAUCAGUUCAUCACUUAGCUUUGAAGCAAAUACUGCAAUUCUGACUUUAUAGAUAAAGAAGUCAGUGCUAGGAUAAGGUAACCACCCAAAGUCAUUCAGGAAAUUCAAGAGCUGGGGGUAGACAGAUUCACAUCUGUCUGGAUAGCAUACAAUCAGAUCCUGACAAUAGAUGGUCAGUCUAAACUCACGAGGACUAAAAGGAUAGAGUUUAAAUAAAGAAAAAAAACAAUGUCAUGGCUUCCUCACAUGUGCUUAGAAAAGGGAACAUAAAAUAGGUCUCGGUUCUUUGUUUAGUGAUACCUUGCAUUCUUCCAAAGCAGGUGGCAGACAUUUAUCCAUGGGUAUUAUCAUCAUGCUAGUACUAGUAUUACUAGUACCAAUAUUUGCUCUAAUCUGUUAUGUGAUAUACACCAAGAAGCGCCGCUCCUAUCAAGACAUCCUGUAGGUUUUCCUUACACCUGCCUUUACCGAGACUCAGACUUACCGGCUUCUAGGACUUCAGUCCUGGUUGGCUGAGGAACUGAGGAGGGUAAAACAACCUUGAAGAAAGUGAAGAGCAACCAGCGCACCCUUUCAAUAUUUAUUUUAAAAAUUAAUUUCUUUUUCAUUGUAUUACAAGUUUAUAAAAGCCCAGGUGGUUUGGAACAAACACAAUUGCAAAUAAACAUACCUGCCAAGAACGAGCUCUGGGCAGUAUUUUAUGGGGUUUGCACUGAACUGGAAAGCACAGAUCCUGCCCAAACUGAUGGUUCCAAGUUUGUUGAAAAGUGUAAAGUCCAAUGCCAACAUGGUUGAACUCUACAGGGUUCAAGAAACCUAGAAGUACUUAUUUGAGAGGAGAGGUGACACAGAUUUUAAAGUAAACUCAAAUAUUUGCAAAUAUCAGCACUGUUUGAUAUCUUAGAUCCACACCUGAUGGAUGUCCAUCUAAUGACAACUCAAGGACUUCCAGUUUGUGGCUCUUUAAAAGAAAAUAUUUGUCCUAAAUGCCAUAAUGACAAUCUUAGGACAGAGUCUCUACUGUAAACAUGUAUUCAUGACUGAUGGGUGUGUUCUCUUUAAAAUAAAAUUUAGGAGGUCUCUUGGG